rnacentral:tRNA from 1 species
AAAAACUUAGUUAAAAAAUAACAUUAGAUUGUCAAACUAAAAUUAUUAAUAAUUUUAAUAGUUUUUA